rnacentral:rRNA from 1 species
GACGAACGCUGGCGGCGUGCUUAACACAUGCAAGUCGAGCGGUAAGGCCCUUUCGGGGGUACGACGAGCGGCGAACGGGUGAGUAACACGUGGGUGACCUGCCCUCAGCUCUGGGAUAAGCCUGGGAAACCGGGUCUAAUACUGGAUAUGACUCCAUGACGCAUGUUGUGGGGUGGAAAGCCUUGUGCGGCUGAGGAUGGGCCCGCGGCCUAUCAGCUUGUUGGUGGGGUGAGGCCUACCAAGGCGACGACGGGUAGCCGGCCUGAGAGGGCGACCGGCCACACUGGGACUGAGACACGGCCCAGACUCCUACGGGAGGCAGCAGCGGGGAAUCUUGCGCAAUGGGCGAAAGCCUGACGCAGCGACGCCGCGUGAGGGAUGACGGCCUCGG